UGGGGAAUAUUGCACAAUGGAGGGAACUCUGAUGCAGCGACGCCGCGUGAACGAAGAAGGCUUUCGAGUCGUAAAGUUCUUUUAUAUGGGAAGAUAAUGACGGUACCAUAAGAAAAAGCCCCGGCUAACUACGUGCCAGCAGCCGCGGUAAUACGUAGGGGGCUAGCGUUGUCCGGAAUCACUGGGCGUAAAGGGUUCGCAGGCGGAAAUGCAAGUCAGGUGUAAAAGGCAGUAGCUUAACUACUGUAAGCAUUUGAAACUGCAUAUCCUGAGAAGAGUAGAGGUAAGUGGAAUUUUUAGUGUAGCGGUGAAAUGCGUAGAUAUUAAAAAGAAUACCGGUGGCGAAGGCGACUUACUGGGCUCAUUCUGACGCUGAGGAACGAAAGCGUGGGUAGCAAACAGG
rnacentral:rRNA from 2 species